UCCACUGCUUUAAGGGGAGUUUUCAGUUUCCGCCAAAAUAAUGCCUGAAAGACUUCAAAGUAGGUCAAAAUCAAAUACGCAAACUAUGCCAGCACGCUAGGUUACAUUAUCUAAGCUACUAUUUUUCAUUUCGUUUUUUUUGGUAAGUAAUACUCCAUAUAUCUGAAUACCUCCCUGGUUCUGUAAAUCAUCCCAAGAGUAAAAUGCACAAAUACAAAAUCACAACCAGGAUCUAAUAACAGUAAACCCAAAAUAUGACCACCAAAAAUCUAAGAACUCUGGAUGAUAAUAACCAAGGAAUGUAUUAUUGACAAGGAUAUGUGGCAAACAUGAAUAUACAGCUGUAUCACCACCAUUUAUCAGUAUCACAAAUUUAAUAGGUAAAUAAAUGUAUCAAUCUGAAAUGUAUUAUCGGUAGUGUUAUUUGUCCAAAUGCAUCUCAUCAACUCACUGCAUGUACAUUUAUAUUUGACAAAUAUACUGUGUAGGAUACACAAAAGCUCAAACGCAAAGCAGAUUCUACACCAUAGAAGUGCUACAAUCAGUCCGACUUGCAGUUCCAAUGUGUUCCAAGCAAUUCAAACCCAAGACUAUGCAUGGAUGACUGUAAUCUUGAGUGAAAAUAGGAAAUCCAUUUCUAAGAAUAGGAAUUCUAGUAAUUUAAUGACAGGUAAUCUUAUUCUAAGUUUUGCAUUAAUUCAGGAAUCCUAAUCAGGAAAUUUUAUUAAAU
rnacentral:lncRNA from 1 species